UUCCCACUUGAGUUCUGGCUGUAGACUGUCUUGGCACUCCUGGGCUGCCCACCACAGCUCUGGGGUGAUCUCAGGGUUUAUGUUCCCUCCUUAACUUGGAGGCAACAGAUGAAGGGACCUUAUUUGUAGUGGUUGUGGCCAAGGGUUUUUUGCUUGUCUCCUGGAGGCUCCACCCCAGAGAGAUGCAGAUCAGCAACCACUCAGUGCAAUCAGCCUGAAUGAUGGGGGUGGGUCUGUGCUGUGGGCCCGAGCUGGAUCCACAUCCCUGCCUAGUGAUGAGCAGCCUUAGGUCUUGCUAGGUCGGUAACACUGCAACUGCAGUGGCAGAGGAAUUGCAGGUUAACUCUGGGAUUUCCUCCUCAAAAAAAUGUUGAGAUGCCUCUGAUUGACCAGGCAGGGGCAGGGUGGUUGUGCUGGAGUCCCAGGUCAGGUGACCCUGCCCAUUGAGGAGAAGUGAGGACCAGGACUUGCAUGGAGAACAAUAUGGCCACUUUUCCAUGAGGUGGGUGCUCUGUGCUGGGGGUCUAGGCUGGUCCCUGACCCCCAAGGGGUCUCCAGAUCCUAGCGACAGCAAGGGCGAGGGCUGUAAGACAGCAAUCUACCCCUCCCACUUGGAGCUCUGUCCCAGAAAGCUGCCAAGCUGCUACUGGCUUGACAGCCCCAGUGGGGGGUGGCUGUAGAGGUUUUAUAAAGGAGAGUGGCUUGUAGGGUUUCAUAAAGGGCAGUUCCCUUUACAAUUUGAUAGAACCUUCCAAACAUGAACAUUUGGACUUAAAACCCUUCCCAUCUCCAUCAACCCAGUGAGCAAUAAUGCUCAACUUUUCAGAAGACAAUCUUUCCUAGGAAUUUUAAAACAAAAUGCAAAUGUAAAUUACAAAAUGUAAAUUAUAAAAUGUAAAUGUAAACUAAAUAUGUUAGUUUACUAACUCUAUGUUUUUCAUACCCUGGCAACCUCUUCAACUCUCAAGAAAGACUACAUGUUGUAAAUUAGGAGUCAUUUGUCUUUUACAUACACAGAUAAAUAAAACAAAAUGCACAGACAUAAGAGACAAUGAUUAAUCUUGCCUCACUAUAAGCACCCUGGCAGAGAGCUGAUACACUUCCUCUUUCUCCCUCCCCACCAAAGUAGUACACAAACACAAUGUGUAUUACGCAAGAUGUGGUUUGACCAUUCCUCUUAAAAAUAACAUUUCACAUAAAUUUUAACACCAGAGACGUUUACCAAAAUGUGUUAUUUUACUACCUCUAAUUUUAACAAAUGUCAGGCACUUCAGAACAUCUAGAAAGACUAGAUAUUAAUAUUUCAAAAAAGUUCUUAGCAUUGUCAGCUAUGUAUACAGCAGUGUUGAAUAAAACACACACACACAUAACAAUUUUUAGAAUACGAAAAUGUCUUCUAAAUAUAACCAGUCAGGCAUAGAACAUUCUUCUCUUCCUUCUCAGGUCUUCCGCUCCAUGUCCUCUAAGCCCCUGAAUAAAUGUGGACUUGUCACUCUUGGUGUCACUUCCAGAGGUGGUCUGACAACUCCAUUUCAAAAAGUCAUCUACAAAAGACAUUUAUUUUCUAUGAUUUCUUUUUAAACAAAUGGGAAUAUGCAAGAUGUGUGAUUUCUAACUCUGUCAUACCUUGGGAACCUCUUUACAUCUAGAAGGGCUAGAUUUAGCAAAUGUUUUCUUAUAAAAGGUUGGGAGGAAAGUUGAGAACAGCUUUUUCAUCUAAAUACAUAGGACUUCUAUAAAUGGCCAGUAAAUCUUCCCAAAGUGUGAUGGGCCUUUCAGUGGGUCAAAUGUGGCAUGUUAUUCUACCAUGUUAUUCUACCAUUCUUCCAACAUUAACAUCUGGUAGGUAGAACCAAGACCAACUCUCACCAAUGGGUGCCAACCGUUCCACCCAUCAUACUUGGAGGACUCCACUCACCUUCCUGCAGUUAAGGCCUUUGUCCAGUGUCAUCAGGACUAGGUCUCACUCUGUAACCCAGGCUGGAGUGCAGUGGAAUGAACACAGCUUCUUGCAGCUUCGACCUCUUGGGCCCAAGCAAUCCUCCUGCCUCAGCCUCCUAAGCAACUGGGAUCACAGGUGCACACCACCAUGUCUGGAUAAUUAUUUAAAAAAAAAAAAA